CGUCAGUCAUAAGUUUUUUGGAAAAGGUCAUCCAAUAAAAAUUUUUUAGAGUGGGUCAUUUCGUGAAAUUUUCCUUCGUGACACACUAGCCAUUGCUCCAAGCAUUUCCAUGGCUUUGAACACGGUGCUUGUUUCAGACUCAGAGGGUGAAACAUGGACUCCACAACAUGUGAAAAUGCUCAAGAAGGGAGAAACAGGAAGCUUCAGAAUUUGUCUGUGGGCUCUGCAAAUGUAGAUCAAAAGCAUAGUAUUCAACUUGAUUGGAAUGAUUUGCUCAUGGAUUUUAAUAAGAUCCGAGUUAACUCAGAGUUAGUUUUGCAAGGAUGCUUGUGUAUCUUACUCUAUUUAGUUUUUUCUAAUCUUUUCUUUAAGAAAAUAAAAUGAAAAAUAACUCGGAGUUGUGUAAUUUGUGUUUGGUUUGUACAAAGGAAUAAGUCAAGGAAACCUGAGUUUUAAUUAUGUGUUUGAUUUUGAAAUUUAUAAUCUGCAGAAGUACAGUUUGUAAUUAGCAAA